GCCCUUCGGGGUACUCGAGUGGCGAACGGGUGAGUAACACGUGGGUGAUCUGCCCUGCACUUUGGGAUAAGCCUGGGAAACUGGGUCUAAUACCGAAUAUGAUCAUCGGCUUCAUGGUCGGUGGUGGAAAGCUUUUGCGGUGUGGGAUGGGCCCGCGGCCUAUCAGCUUGUUGGUGGGGUAAUGGCCUACCAAGGCGACGACGGGUAGCCGGCCUGAGAGGGUGACCGGCCACACUGGGACUGAGAUACGGCCCAGACUCCUACGGGAGGCAGCAGUGGGGAAUAUUGCACAAUGGGCGCAAGCCUGAUGCAGCGACGCCGCGUGAGGGAUGACGGCCUUCGGGUUGUAAACCUCUUUCAGUAGGGACGAAGCGCAAGUGACGGUACCUAUAGAAGAAGGACCGGCCAACUACGUGCCAGCAGCCGCGGUAAUACGUAGGGUCCGAGCGUUGUCCGGAAUUACUGGGCGUAAAGAGCUCGUAGG
rnacentral:rRNA from 1 species